AGGAGCUGUGAAAUGGUUUCCAGUCACUUGCCUGUGCUUUCUUCCAUAGUGAGUACAGGUUGAAUACAGUUCCUCAUUUGUGUAAAAUGUGUAAAAGCGGCUUGCUUUAUGUGGGGAUUUUUUUUGUAGCGUGGGGGUUUUUUUUGGCUACAAUUCUCUUGAAGAGGAUGCACAGUAAUAUUUUGCUCAGAUCUGUUAAAAAUGGGAUUGUGUAAUUACUUCCACGUGUGUCUGGCUUUUUUUUUGUUUGUUUUAUGAAUGGGAACUCAGUGGCUGUGUCUAAAUCCUGGUUUGUCUCAUGCGUUGUCAGCCAUUUUGGCAGCUUAUGGCUAAAUGAGUGCCUCUGAAUUGCUCCCAGGUUACCAGUUUGGGGCAUUAGGUGUUCAGUCUCUGCAUCAUCUUCCCAAUUUGUUCAGCCUUUGCAGCCAUUGUAAUUCUCUUUCCUUGUGCUCAUCUUCUCCCCCCUCUUUCUUAAAGGUGUAUAAUUGAUUCAGCAAAAAUUGCAAAACUCCCUGCAAUGUGGGGAGUUAUUAGUUUUAUUAGUGUGGGGUUUUUAAUCUGGGAUACUUUCUUUUUAAGGACUUGCUGAUUUGUGAGGCCAUUGUGUUGAUGUGUAGCUGACAGUUCUGUGCCUCUGUGUUACUGUUAAAGCCUAUCUUCUUUCACCAUGUUCAUCACUGACUUUUUGGUUUUUGUGUUAAAUGGGCAUGGUUUACUCUCUCAAGCAUCUCUUGAGACUCUAGCAUCCUCUUGCAGGCCUGUCUGUAUGACCUAAAAUUUCUUUCCUUGGAUGCAACUUUCCCAUGAGUCUCUUUGGAUUUUCUGUGGUAGAGCACAGCAUUUUUCUGUUGCACCUGCUCUGUGUUAUGUGCUCCUACAGUCUCGUAGUCUCUGAGCAGUUUUUUCAAGUCCCCAUAUUUCUUAUGGAGAACUCCACUCAGGCAAGCUUGCUUCAGACUGAAGACAGUUUGCCCUCUAGUUAUGACUGAGUUUUGUGUUGGACUCCUUAUUUCAUUGCGGUGCCAUGCUUCUGACAUCAUGUGUGCCCCUGGGUUCAGUUGCUCUGCUUUAAUGGUUUAUGCCUGAAUUAAUAAUUACUGCGGUGUUGCUAGUUGCUACUACUUUGUAAUUCCUAUAAAGUCCUUUUCUACUUCGGAGCUGUAUGAAUUGCAGACCUCUGCUUGUUUCAUUCAGUAUACCUAAACUUCCCAACAUAUGGAUAGUUCUGGGUAACUCCUGGGACUGAGAGGACUUUCUAGUCACCUGUGGAGUGAAGAUGUCUGUGGAGAUCAGGGUGUUCUCGGUGUUAUCACAAUCUUUUCUGUCCUUUCUUCUCAACUGGCCGUUACCGGUUCCUUUGGGCAUACCAGUGAGUAUGGUCGUGGGCUGGGUUGUUGGCCAGUGUGAUGCUGUGCUAUAGGAUGACCAGUUAAACUGAACUUCUAACAUCAGCACAAGUCUUAGGUUCCUAUAUGUGCUUUUCCCUCUAGAUAUCCUUUUUUCCUCCAGUAUCCCCAUGUCUAUUUCCAGCCUGUUUUCACUUACACAGAGGAUCAAUGGUCUACUUCUGACAAGCUAAUUUUUGAGGAUGACUUGCUUUCAUGCUAUAAAUGGCAUGUAGUUGCUGAGCCAGGAAUCUAGUUCUCUGCAAAUGCAGUCACAGGUCAUCACAGUGAGUCUGUAGGCUUUCUCCAGGAUGCAAUAUAUAUGUGUUUCUUUUUGGUGAAAACAAUAUUGUGGUGUUUUCAUUAAAACUAAUGGUGGCGGCAUCAUUUCCUCUCCAGAAUCCACUGCUGUGUUAUGUGCAAGAAGCCCAGUAUACCCAAGCAGGACUUCUGCUGUAGAUGAAGAGUCCUGCUUGCUGAGUCCAGUUUCCUUUGAAAGGCACCGUGAUGUGCUUUUAGGAGGUUACAGCUAAGUUACUUGAUCCUUCCAGGCCUGAAGGGCAGGUCAGUUUAUUUUGGUAAUCAUGCCAGGAUGUGAAAUUAGUUAAAUAGGCUUCUACAGCGAUUCCCCUACAAAACUCUGGGUUUUGGAAACUUAGUGGGUAGCUGCACUGUAAGUGUCAUGUUAUUGGUGUUACAGUAGUGGACAGCUUCUGACAUCAAGAGUGAGUGAUUGUAAGCAAGGGAGAUUCACUAAGGCUGUAAUGUGAGAGCACUAUGUUAAUGUAGCUGUGACUGAAUCAGUACCACGAGAAGAUUAAAAGAAAGUACUUCUGGUGUAUUAAAAGGGUAACAAGAGACCUAGGAGACUUUAAAGUCAUUAGCCUGAGUCAGAGUCUGUGCAAUUUUAAUGGUAAGAGUUAAUUUGCAAUUUGGUGGAAGAAGAUUUAGCAGCUAAAUAUAUCUAUAUACACUAAUGAAAAGAGAUCUGUCCUGUGGAAGGGAGGUCUUAAGUGUAAAAUGUGACAGGUUUGUCAAGAUUACAGCCUGGUUGAUGAAAGCAUCAGUGGUAAAAUUGUUUCUCCAAAGCACUUGACUUUGUACUGUAGUUUAUUUUAUUGAAAGGCGUUGCAUUGCUAAUGAAGAGUAUGUUACGUCUAUUGAAAACUGGCUCAGUGGAGAGUUAUCUUGGAACUGGGGAGUUAUCUUGGAAUUCAUGCUUGGGGUCAAAGUUGAGUAAUUUUGUAUAUCAGCCAUCCCAGUGAUGAGACAAUUACUAUUGGUAAAACUUGCAGGAGGAGAGGGUUGAUGAGGGCUGAUGAAUAGGGCAGUCAGAAGUCUGGGGCAGCUGGUGAAAUAGCAAAAAUGUCACCAGAACACAGGUUAAAUGUAGCUGGCUGUAAGGCAGGAUGGCAGGGGAGAGCGUAGAGGUUGUAACUGUGGGACAGGAACCGUGACAAAGAGUGAAGUUGUUCUAGGUAAUCACCUCUGCAAGCUGUCAUGUGUCCUUUCAGACCGGCCUGGCAUGAGUAUCGCCUAUCCAGGAAUAAGGUUGCGAUCUAGGCUUUGCUCUCUCGCCUUGUGGACACGCAUCUCUUUCUCAAAGCAGUCAGUGUUGGUAAAACUGUGCAACACUGAGCUUCAGAAAUCUGCCUCUUCCUUAUUGAAGGCAAUUUAAACUUUCAAGCAGGAUCUCCUAAUUUUAAUCUCUAUUAAGUGCCUUGAUCAUUUAAAGUGUGACUACUGAACUGAGCUAACAGGAAGGAUAUCUGUGUUGACUUUCCAAAUCAAAGUGUUUGUUUAACCCAGAUUUAUUUCAGGGUUGUAACUCUUACUGAGUAGUAGAGCAAUAAAAAAGAUUGUUAGGCUAGAAAAUUAACUUUUAAAACACAAACACUUGAAAAUAUUUGAAAUAAGUCCCACAGCUGCCGCCUUGUUCAACACAAUCUAUCAAACCACAGAAAGAGAAUUUUAGAAAUCAAAAGAAGAACAUGAAAACCCCAGGCAUCGAAGUUGUCUUCUGAAUCUAGCAAAUAGCUGAAGCAAAACCUUCUAGUGGAGGGCAUAUAGGAUUUGAGUAGUGCAAGUAGUUCGAUCUUUAUGGAGUUUAUUUUAAAAAUAAAAAUCCUCCCCCGAUAGACUGGCCAGUUUCACUUUUUUCAGUAACUGCCAUGUCUGAAUGGAUGCUGAAUGGCUUUAAGCACAGAUAACAGAAUAUAGAAUUCCUCUUUUAACAUCUCUUAAGCCCAGAGUUUUUUGCUCAUAUCAAGCUUGGGAAGAGAUAACAGUGUUCUUUGGUUACCUCCCUGUUGUGCUUUAGUAGGGGCGACGUGUGAAUAGCAAGAGCUGUUGUUCCUUCUCAGCCUCUGAAAAGAAGAACCGAUGGGUGGGCCAAAAUGUGGGCCCUGCCUUUCACUUAUACAAUACACUUCUUGUACAUCAGGCACUGGACGAAGAAGGGUAGCUGAGAUUUCAAAUAUUCUUUCCUGUAGUAUCUGUGCUGCUGUUCUAAAUGUGAAUGAUUGUAUUAAAAUCAAAUUAGUACCCACUUAAAAUGCUGGUUAGUUCUUCUUGCAGAAGACAUGUGUGCUGAAUAAAUGAAUUGAGGUCAUGUGGAACCUUGUCUCUCUUGUUACUGUAGGUGUGCAGAAUAAAGGACAUUGUGUGGCAUAACUGGAAAAAAAACCCCAAACCAAACCCUCUUGGAAGAGUACUUUUCAGUGGGAUAUAUGCUAGCUAGGAUCAGAGAACAGUAAAUGCAUUUACCCUGACUAGAGGCUGAUUUGCCUUCCCCUGGGGUGACUUUUCUGAGACAGAGUAGCCUACGCAAAUGAGGGUGAUGUAACUGGAGCUUUGGAGUCAGGGCUUUCAGGUUGCAGCAUCCUUGCUUGUGGAGGAAAGUGUGUGCAAGGUGUUUAAGGACAGAGUAGAUUUUUAGACUUCCUUGUGAUUCCUCAGGAAGGGAAACCUGGUUCUGUUUUCUUCCCUAAGGCAGUCCUAUCUCACUUUUUGUAAAGUUUUGAUUGGUUUCAGAGCACCUUUAGGAAGCAGGAGUAAAGCUGGCAACGUCAGUUUUAUACUGCUGAAUAUGAAAACUGAUUUGGACACAGUCAUUGGAAAUGUCCCAUUCUCUUGUCCUUGAAAAUCCAGCAGAAAUAGAGUGAAUAACAUUUUCUUUCAGUUUCUGAUAGUUUUAUACUGUCUCUAGUAAAGCGUUCUUUUCCCCUUUUGACUACCGGAUUAGGGACCACAUUUUGCUUUAAACUGUGGUAGGCUGAUGCACAGUGCUGCAAAAUGUUCUGUUUCUGUGUAGUUAAGUAGAAAUUCCAACACCUGCUUUUCACCUUUGUUGAGUAUGUGUUUUCUGGCUUGGGUCUUCAGAGUUCUGUAGUAUUAGCAAAGGCUCUGGUUUUAAUUGUCGUUAAUUUUUCUGUCCCUGUGGAAUUGUUUCCUCAACAAGAUGAUAGCUAAAGCUGGAAUCCCUGAAUAAAGCACCGAUGAAAGCAGGAACGGAUUAAUCUUCCUGGCUGUAUGCAAAAUAACCCCCUGUUCAAGACUUCCAAGGAGGAAUGGCUUCUGAUCUCUGCCAGCAAAAGCAGAGCUCUCUCAAUUGGACAAAUAUAAGAUGACCAUCUCCAUGCAUUUAAAAGGAAAAAGUCUACAAUACACAAGUGAGACUUUUGCUCAGGUGGUCUAAAAGAGACCCAGAGGCACAGAGCCUGCCAGUAGUGGUAAUUCUCAAGCUGUGUGGCUGUGUCCCAAAAACUGUUGUGUGAAAAGAAGAUUUCAUGCCCACAGAGUUGUGCAGCUUGGAAAUAUGGACCUGUUCGUACAUGUGUAUCCAUAGGAACAAAGUCCUGUUAUUGCUGCAAGGUUAACACACGCAUGCACGUCUGGUGGAUUUACAGCAUGUUAACAAGUUUUAAGUGGUGGUAGGGGAACUGGCUUGGCCGUACUGCGUGCUUUUUCAAUUAUGGUAUGCAUUCAACAGGCAAGUGGCUUUAUGUUAAAUGGCAGUUAGGAGCUGUGGUGGAAUAUUACAUGUCUAAAUUGGUUCUGCUCUUGAACCUUUGCUUGUGCACCCCGAUAUUCCUCCUCAUGAAGGAGAGUGUGAUAGAGAGAAAUGAGCUGUACUGCUUCAAUAAAAAUCCAACUCAGCUGGUCUCAAGCUCAGGUUUUGCACUUCUGGUGCUGUUUCAGUUUUGUUGUGUUUAUGUUCUGUUUUUUCCUCUUUCAUUCGCAGACAGCUUUGCGUUCCCCAGCUUGUGGACUAUUGAGAGGGCUGUGCCUUUAAUAUAAACCAGCUGUCAGCUGCGAAAUGAGUGGAAAACUUAAGAAUUCAGUAAACACUCUGGAGGGAGUGUACUUGCACCACAGUGGUAUCUCAAUGCCAAGCUUGCCUAAAAUCUAGUGUGGGUGACUUCAGAUUUGAUUAGUGUCAGCAGCGUUGCUGGGGAGCUUUAGAGAAAGCAUAUUCUUAGAAUUGAAACAAAUGGUUCAUACUGGAAAGGUUCUGGCGCAAACUAAACAGCUGUUGGAGAAGAUGCAUUCAAGGCAAGUCAACAACCUUAAAACCCUAAUCCCCAAGCCUUCUUUUCUGUCCCAAAAGUCAAUUGUUCAGUUGCCUAGGGUAUAAUUAUUCAUUGUUUGCUGCAUACUUAAAAUAACAGAAGCAUCUGCUCCCUUAUUCUUCAAACACGGCUUUCGGGUUAAUCUUGUCACACACAAUUCACACUAAUGCCAAUACCAUUUUACCUAAGUAUUGAAAAGUAACAUAGCUGUUGCUUAGGUCAUGCUGUCAGUAUACAUUUUAAAUAAAUCAGUGCUGUAUUGCAGAGUGUUCAGCUCAUUCUUGUCUCCUGGUCUGUGACACACAUGUUGGUUUCACGCAAUUAGAAUGUAGGUUAUCAAGACUGAUGGUCCAAGCUCCUGUCCUUCAAAGGAAGUGUCAAUACUUACAGUGAUUUAAUCAGGCAAGCAGUGUUGUUACUACCUUUCAGGGGUGGUCAGCUUAGGCGAUGGUUGUGAAGGAGAGCCCAAGGCGUGGCAUUGGGAAGGGACAGGAUGCUUGAGGGGGAAGAGUUAGAUGUAGCUCCCAUGUCCUUGUCCUGUGGGGUGUGUGAAUAAAUGCUUGUUUGUGUGAGCCUUUCCCUACCUUGCUUCAUUUGCUCUGCUUUUUGCAAACAUGUUUCACUGCCAAAGGCCUAUAUGUUACCUGCAGGCUGCUCCUUUAUUUCUGCUCAUUAACAUUGUACACUAACUUGCCUUUGCUUCACUUUAUGGGCUUCGUUUAUUUUUCCUGCUGUGCUCUGAGUCCCUGUAUGACCCUACCUGGCAUUUCAUUGCUAUUGACUGACUGAUUAGCAGCGCCUUCCCUUUCCCCUUAACCUGAGUGCUCAUGCCACGUUUCCCUGUCUUGGUGCACUGGAAUCUUGAUUCUUGCAGGUCCUACUCAAGAUCUUUCCCUAUUCCAUAAGCUGAAAUGUAGUUAUUAAGGUCUUGAUAGCUGGAGCUUGCUGGUCCCUUCUGAAAAACCCAAUUAAUUGAGAUGCUUUCCUUUACUUUGCAGUUAUAUGUCUUGGAGAGACAGACCUGAGUUCUUGUAAAUUACUAGCUAGAUGGCUUCCUUCUUGCUGUUUAUUGUUUUAAGUUAAUGUUUAAUCACUUGAUAUUCAUCAGAAGGAGGCACAGAAGCAGUCUAAGUGAAAGUCUGGCCUGCAAGAGGGCAGCUAGGUAAUGAAGUGGUGGACUGGGGAAUUUUGGGAGCUUAAAGUUUCAAACCUCAUCUGCAUUCAGGUAGUUGGAACAACACUGCCUGAAGCUCUUACCCCAGCCAAAAGGAGAUGCCCUGCAGGCAACAGCUUGUUUUGGGGCUGAAAUGGGUAAGAAAGCCUCAGGGAAGAGCUUGGGAAUAGACAGUUUGCAGUGAAGGGAGGGAAGGGACAUUGCUGAAGAGGAAUGUGUUUAAGGCAGCAGUUGUACAGUCUUCGUAAGCUGAUGCAACUGCCAAAAGAAAAGGUCCUGGAGGCUCCUUCUUUGGGCAGGCUUUUCUACCACAGCUGCUAAACCAUGUCUACAAGCUGAUCAAUUUGAAAAGCUAAUUUUAUAUGUAUUUGCAUGUGUCUGCUAUGAUGCGUGUACAGGUUCAGGUCUUUCCUACGAUGAAUCUUCUUUUAUGGCCUCAUUAACAUUUGCCAACUUCAGUCUGCAUGCGUAUGGAAGUGAAUGGAAAGUGGGAUAAACUGCGUAGUUUACCCAUGUAGAGCUUGUCAAAUGAACUUGGGUAACUUCUCUGACUGAAAGGUGAUGUGUGUGUGGUUUUUUUUGUUGGGUUUUUUUGUUUUUUUGUUUUUUUUUUUUUAAAGAUGACAGAAAUCCAGCAGGCCUAACUUGAAGGCAGCAUUAGUAGCCUUUUGGUUGGUGUUACAUGGACAUUGUUAAUGGGAAAUAAGGGGUGGGGUGCUGAAAGUGCUGAUUAACAUAUAGGCAAAAUAUUCUGGUUCUGUUUGCUGACAUGCAGGACUUCCGUGGAGCUGUGUAUGCAGCUUUCACUGUCUUUCUGUGGUACUGCUAUGAACAGAGAAGUAAGCUAGUGCUUAUGACAGCUUUCUGCUGUGCUUCAGAAAUACAACAUACUAUUCAGCAAC